rnacentral:rRNA from 1 species
AACGAACGCUGGCGGCAUGCCUAACACAUGCAAGUCGAACGAUGCUUUCGGGCCUAGUGGCGCACGGGUGCGUAACGCGUGGGAAUCUGCCCUUGGGUUCGGAAUAACAGAGAGAAAUUGCUGCUAAUACCGGAUGAUGUCUUCGGACCAAAGAUUUAUCGCCCAGGGAUGAGCCCGCGUAGGAUUAGCUAGUUGGUGGGGUAAUGGCCUACCAAGGCGACGAUCCUUAGCUGGUCUGAGAGGAUGAUCAGCCACACUGGGACUGAGACACGGCCCAGACUCCUACGGGAGGCAGCAGUGGGGAAUAUUGGACAAUGGGCGCAAGCCUGAUCCAGCAAUGCCGCGUGAGUGAUGAAGGCCUUAGGGUUGUAAAGCUCUUUUACCCGGGAUGAUAAUGACGGUACCGGGAGAAUAAGCUCCGGCUAACUCCGUG